rnacentral:rRNA from 1 species
GACGAACGCUGGCGGCGUGCUUAACACAUGCAAGUCGAACGAUGAACCGGGUGCUUGCACUUGGGGAUUAGUGGCGAACGGGUGAGUAACACGUGAGUAACCUGCCCUGGACUCUGGGAUAACCCCGAGAAAUCGGAGCUAAUACCGGAUAGGACCUUCUCCCGCAUGGGGGUUGGUGGAAAGUUUUUCGGUUUGGGAUGGACUCGCGGCCUAUCAGCUUGUUGGUGAGGUAAUGGCUCACCAAGGCGUCGACGGGUAGCCGGCCUGAGAGGGUGACCUGCCACACUGGGACUGAGACACGGCCCAGACUCCUACGGGAGGCAGCAGUGGGGAAUAUUGCACAAGGGGCGCAAGCCUGAUGCAGCAACGCCGCGUGCGGGAUGACGGCCUUCGGGUUGUAAACCGCUUUUAGUAAGGAAGAAGGGGCUUCGGCCUUGACGGUACUUGCAGAAAAAGGACCGGCUAACUACGUGCCAGCCGCCGCCGUAACAC